UUCCCAGCAUCUCCUAUCCCUACCUCCUCGUGGUACCGGUUGGAAACUACGAGCAGCCUUAGGGAAGAUCGGGUAGGAUCUUUAGUCGUAGGCUAACAGGGAAGC
rnacentral:ribozyme from 1 species